GAUGAACGCUGACAGAAUGCUUAACACAUGCAAGUCUACUUGAAGCUAACUUCGGUUAGUGGAGGGUGGCGGACGGGUGAGUAACGCGUAAAGAACUUGCCUCACAGAUUGGGACAACAUUUGGAAACGAAUGCUAAUACCGGAUAUUAUGAUACUUCUGCAUGGAAGAAUCGUGAAAGCUAUAUGCGCUGUGAGAGAGCUUUGCGUCCCAUUAGCUAGUUGGAGAGGUAACGGCUCACCAAGGCGAUGAUGGGUAGCCGGCCUGAGAGGGUGAACGGCCACAAGGGGACUGAGACACGGCCCUUACUCCUACGGGAGGCAGCAGUGGGGAAUAUUGGACAAUGGACCAAAAGUCUGAUCCAGCAAUUCUGUGUGCACGAUGAAGUUUUUCGGAAUGUAAAGUGCUUUCAGUUGGGAAGAAGCAAGUGACGGUACCAACAGAAGAAGCGACGGCUAAAUACGUGCCAGCAGCCGCGGUAAUACGUAUGUCGCAAGCGUUAUCCGGAUUUAUUGGGCGUAAAGCGCGUCUAGGUGGUUAUAUAAGUCUGAUGUGAAAAUGCGGGGCUCAACUCCGUAUUGCGUUGGAAACUGUAUGACUAGAGUACUGGAGAGGUAAGCGGAACUACAAGUGUAGAGGUGAAAUUCGUAGAUAUUUGUAGGAAUGCCGAUGGGGAAGCCAGCUUACUGGACAGAUACUGACGCUAAAGCGCGAAAGCGUGGGUAGCAAACAGG
rnacentral:rRNA from 1 species